UUUCGUAGGUGAACCUGCGGAAGGAUCAU
rnacentral:rRNA from 1 species